AUGCUCGGCUUGCCGAUGCUGGCAGCGGCGACACCCGCGGGUGUCGUUUUCCUUCCCGGAGGCGUUGCCAUAGCCUUUGUCCGUGCACCCCUUCAAGUAUCAGGGGAAACCCUAGGUCCGGUUCUCCGGAUCGGAUGGCGACGGCGUCACGACAUCGUUCCCCUUCUUGAAGGCCCUAUCUUCCUAGCUCGUGGUGUCCUGGGUGUUGGAAUUGAAGAUGUUCGAUGUCCUGCUGAUUUGGUCUGCUCCUCUAGUUUUAGGUUUGGUGGGUUUAGUUGUGUCCUUCACCCUGUUCGGGCUAAGCACCCCGUCUCUCUCUGCUCCGGACACCAUGCUUAUGCCUUCUUGCGUUCAUGGCAUGUGUUGUAUCCUUUAUUGUACUCUUUCUUCUUCCUUCUAUCAAUGAAAUGA
rnacentral:rRNA from 1 species